rnacentral:rRNA from 1 species
GAUGAACGCUGGCGGCGUGCCUAAUACAUGCAAGUCGAACGCUGAAGGAAGGAGCUUGCUCUUUCCGGAUGAGUUGCGAACGGGUGAGUAACGCGUAGGUAACCUGCCUGGUAGCGGGGGAUGACUAUUGGAAACGAUAGCUAAUACCGCAUAACAGUAGAUGUUGCAUGAUAUCUACUUAAAAGGUGCAAUUGCACCACUACCAGAUGGACCUGCGUUGUAUUAGCUAGUUGGUGAGGUAACGGCUCACCAAGGCGACGAUACAUAGCCGACCUGAGAGGGUGAUCGGCCACACUGGGACUGAGACACGGCCCAGACUCCUACGGGAGGCAGCAGUAGGGAAUCUUCGGCAAUGGACGGAAGUCUGACCGAGCAACGCCGCGUGAGUGAAGAAGGUUUUCGGAUCGUAAAGCUCUGUUGUAAGAGAAGAACGAGUGUGAGAGUGGAAAGUUCACACUGUGACGGUAGCUUACCAGAAAGGGACGGCUAACUACGUG